GGGAGUGACCAUAUCUCAGUGGUAGAGCACAUAGUCUGCAAUCUCAAGAUCCCAGGUUCAAUUCCUGGCAUCUUCA